rnacentral:rRNA from 1 species
GAGAGCGGCGGACGGGUGAGUAAAGCCUAGGAAUCUGCCUGGUAGUGGGGGAUAACGCUCGGAAACGGACGCUAAUACCGCAUACGUCCUACGGGAGAAAGCAGGGGACCUUAGGGCCUUGCGCUAUCAGAUGAGCCUAGGUCGGAUUAGCUAGUUGGUGAGGUAAUGGCUCACCAAGGCGACGAUCCGUAACUGGUCUGAGAGGAUGAUCAGUCACACUGGAACUGAGACACGGUCCAGACUCCUACGGGAGGCAGCAGUGGGGAAUAUUGGACAAUGGGCGAAAGCCUGAUCCAGCCAUGCCGCGUGUGUGAAGAAGGUCUUCGGAUUGUAAAGCACUUUAAGUUGGGAGGAAGGGCAUUAACCUAAUACGUUAGUGUUUUGACGUUACCGACAGAAUAAGCACCGGCUAACUCUG